CUCCCGGCUGCCCCGCCCCGCCCGGCUGGAGAGACUUCGCCCCUGGCGGGAGGGGGCGGAGGCUAAGGGCCCAGCCGCAGGAAGCGGGCGGACGCGUGCUCGAGCCCGUACCACUUCGGCGGGCCCCGUCCUGGGAGCAGAGUGACUUUCGCUCGCUUUGAGCAAGCUGUUCCAGAUGAGAGGGGCCCCAUCAAGCUCCUUCCCUGCGAACUACGCUCAGCACCUCAGCAUCAAGCCGCUGUAGCUUUGGACUGUGUCUAUCGAACACCAUCACUCAAGUCAAACAGCAGAUGCACUUGACAGGUUGUGGAUGUGACUGAUCAUAAAUGAUACUGCUGUGCCUGUGCGUCAAUAGCAGCUCUCAACAUGGAGCCCCUGUAGACAGGUACAAACACAUGGACUGGCACAACCUCACUUCAUUCUGUUACAAAAUCACGUGCUUCUCUGAUGCUUGAGAGGGAUAUGCCACAUAUAGAAAAGGAAAUUACAACCAUUCAGUGACACUGCCCGUGUGACUUAACCAAGCUAAUGUAGCAAUGUUGAUCCAAAUCAAGUUUAAUGACAAAUCCUGUUAGGAGUGACCUGUGCCUACUUGGGUUAUAUGCUUGUAUGUGGCUAGAAAUGGGCCAAGGAAUCUCUCUUCGUUAGGGAUAGAGGUUGUUUUUUGGCUCAUCUAUUGCCUCCUGUAAUUAUUAGCAAUGACACCAAAGAUCAGCAGGUUAGUGAAAUGAAUAAUGGAUGGGCCUUAGGCUAGACUACAUCCUGACUGUCUGAAAUAGAGUCCUCUGGUCUUCCCUGGGACAGUCACCUGGGUCCAGGACUCUGGAACGCAUAUUUGAGGUCAAUACUUGAGGUUAAUUUCAUCUUGUUGUUUGGAGUCCCGAUGAUAGUAGCCUUGUGUGAGAAAUUUAGUUCUAGCCUCUGUUGGUUAAAGUAAUCAGAAUGGCCAAUAGAGUGACAUACUUUUGUGACAGUUUGCUAGAAGCCAAGACAGGUAGGGGCAACAGGUGGAUUGAUGGGGAAAACAAUCUUCCACAGGUCCUGAACAUCCCUGCACAUUUUUGCUAGGUAUGCCAAGAAUUCAAAUUCCUUCCUGACUAUUCUUUCCUAAUGCCAUUUCUCUGGGUUGUGUUUAUAGUGAACACCGUGAGGGUUGAAGUUAUAUCAAGUCAUAUGUUUGCUUCUAAAUUAUUGGGUGUGUGUGUGAAUAAUUGAGUGAGAGUGUAGGUGAACCAUAUCAUCUAAAAAUUUGUAAUUGUUGAGGCUGGGUCAUAGGUACAUGUGGGUUCAAAGUACAGGCUUUCUUACCACUUACUAUAAAAACAGUAGAUUCCCAAGUGUGUUCCUUGUUAGCAAUACAAACUCAUUGUAUGUAUUAUAUCCUUCUGGGCCCCUCUAUGUUACCCCCAUGGGAUCUGGGAUAAGGCUCAUGCUGCUUGUUGUGUCAUGAGUAAUAAAGUCCUCUUCUGUGA